GAUGAACGCUGGCUACAGGCUUAACACAUGCAAGUCGUGGGGAAACGGCAUUAUGUGCUUGCACAUUCUGGACGUCGACCGGCGCACGGGUGAGUAUCGCGUAUCCAACCUGCCCCUUACUUGGGGAUACCCCGUUGAAAGACGGCCUAAUACCCGAUGUGUUUCAUUGACGGCAUCCGAUAUGAAACAAAGGUUUUCCGGUAAGGGAUGGGGAUGCGUCUGAUUAGCUUGUUGGCGGGGCAACGGCCCACCAAGGCGACGUAUCAGUAGGGGUUCUGAGAGGAAGGUCCCCCACAUUGGAACUGAGACACGGUCCAAACUCCUACGGGAGGCAGCAGUGAGGAAUACUUGGUCAAUGGACGCAAGUCUGAACCAGCCAAGUAGCGUGCAGGAUGACGGCUCUAUGGG
rnacentral:rRNA from 1 species